ensembl:snoRNA
UUGCAUCUGGAAAUGUCUGCUCUUCAUUCCUUUGGGAGCAGAAAUACAUCCUCAACAUGCUAAAUUUAAAAAGGAGUUAUCAGGGCUGCCAACCUUAAAGUAGAGUUUGAGUGGUAGUAUAUACUCCUACAUAA